GAUGAACGCUGGCGGCGUGCCUAAUACAUGCAAGUCGAGCGAACGGACGAGAAGCUUGCUUUUCUGAUGUUAGCGGCGGACGGGUGAGUAACACGUGGAUAACCUACCUAUAAGACUGGGAUAACUUCGGGAAACCGGAGCUAAUACCGGAUAAUAUUUUGAACCGCAUGGUUCAUGAGUGAAAGACGGUCUUGCUGUCACUUAUAGAUGGAUCCGCGCUGCAUUAGCUAGUUGGUAAGGUAACGGCUUACCAAGGCAACGAUGCAUAGCCGACCUGAGAGGGUGAUCGGCCACACUGGAACUGAGACACGGUCCAGACUCCUACGGGAGGCAGCAGUAGGGAAUCUUCCGCAAUGGGCGAAAGCCUGACGGAGCAACGCCGCGUGAGUGAUGAAGGUCUUCGGAUCGUAAAACUCUGUUAUUAGGGAAGAACAUAUGUGUAAGUAACUGUGCACAUCUUGACGGUACCUAAUCAGAAAGCCACGGCUAACUACGUG
rnacentral:rRNA from 1 species